rnacentral:rRNA from 1 species
GUUGACGGGACCGCACAAGCAGCGGAGCGUGUGGUUAAUUCGAUGCUACACGAAGAACUUACCAGGUUUGACAUGCAAGUGGUAGGAAUCUGAAAAGGGACCGACCUUCGGGGAGCUUGCACAGGUGCUGCAUGGCUGUCGUCAGCUCGUGUCGUGAGAUGUUGGGUUAAGUCCCGCAACGAGCGCAACCCUUAUCCCCAGUUGCCAUCAGGUAAAGCUGGGAACUCUGGGGAGACUGCCGGUGAUAAACCGGAGGAAGGCGGGGAUGACGUCAAGUCCUCAUGGCCCUUACAUCCCGGGCUACACACGUGCUACAAUGGCAGGUACAGAGGGCUGCGAAGCCGCGAGGUGGAGCGAAUCCCAGAAAACCUGUCUCAGUCCGGAUUGAAGUCUGCAACUCGACUUCAUGAAGGCGGAAUCGCUAGUAACCGCGAAUCAGCAGGUCGCGGUGAAUACGUUCCCGGGCCUU